rnacentral:rRNA from 1 species
AACGUAGGGUGCAAGCGUUGUCCGGAAUUACUGGGUGUAAAGGGAGCGCAGGCGGACCGGCAAGUUGGAAGUGAAAACUAUGGGCUCAACCCAUAAAUUGCUUUCAAAACUGCUGGGCUUGAGUAGUGCAGAGGUAGGUGGAAUUCCCGGUGUAGCGGUGGAAUGCGUAGAUAUCGGGAGGAACACCAGUGGCGAAGGCGACCUACUGGGCACCAACUGACGCUGAGGCUCGAAAGCAUGGGUAGCAAACAGG